rnacentral:rRNA from 1 species
AUACCCUAUUAUUUUUAAUGUUAAAUAAGAGAAGCUAGAGUAUUAUUAGAAAUGAUCUUUAAACUUAAAGAAUUUGGCGGUAUUAUAGGUCUAUUUAGAGGAAUCUGUUAUGUAAUCGAUAGUCCACGUUGAACCUUACUUAUAUAAAUUCUUGUAUAUCGCUGUUGUGAUUAUAUUUUUAGAUUAUAAUUAUGUAAAAUUAUAUUUUGUUGGUUCAAGUCAUGGUGCAGUAAAUAUAUAAGAUAAAUAAUGGAUUACAAUAAAAUUUAUUAAAACGGAUUGAGAUUGGAAUUUAUUGAAUUAAAGGUGGAUUUAAUUGUAAUUUUAUAAAGAUUAUUAAAUUGAUUAUAGCUCUAUAAUAUGUACACAUCGCCC